rnacentral:lncRNA from 1 species
GCACAAUGAGUUACAUACAAUCAAAUUUAUUACAUGAUCAAAACCCUAAAAUGAAUUGAAAAGAGGGAAAACACUUCCCAGAGGAAAAACACUAAAUUGAUCGGUGGGAUUUCGAGCUUUCAACGUCAGGAAUCCUUACGUGCUUCCUGAUUGUUGAGAAGAUGGUUCAGUGAAGAGAACAAGAAGAGAGAAGGUAGAGAGAGCAGGGAAAGAAGGAGAAUAAGCUUUUCUAGAGAAAAAAUGAAGUUUUGAGUUACUAAACCUGGUGUUCUGAAAAAUCUGGUCUUACAUCAAAUAUGAUAGUCUCUAUAUUUACAUGAAAGUCAUGUAAAAUGUAACAUCCCAAUAAAUAUAACCAAAGCUAUAAUUCAUUUUAGGAGUUAACAUGAACAAUAAAGGAGAACAGUAGUGAAUAAGCAUAGAAGUAUGAAAUAUACUUGGAAUUUAAAGCUGUAAAAUCAGUAAUAUUGAAUACAUCAUUUACAAAAUAGACCGAACGGUCUCGAAUGCAGUUCAUUGACCUAACGGCCAACAUCAAAAGGUUUCCUAUACUGAACGCUUUUACAAAACACUAGGCAAUGAAAACAACUAUACUAAGGACCGGACGGUCCUGCAUAACUUUCAGGCACGGCCUCCACGGGUUGCUCNGCCUGCAUAGCAUCCUCCAGAGUGUCUUCCAAAGUAGCUUCCAAGGUAUCC